rnacentral:rRNA from 1 species
ACGUACCUUGAGCAUAUAUGCUGUGACCCGAAAGAUGGUGAACCAUACUUGAUCAGGUUGAAGUCAGGGGAAACCCUGAUGGAAGACCGAAACAGUUCUGACGUGCAAAUCGAUUGUCAGAAUUUAGAAUAGGGGCGAAAGACCAAUCGAACCAUCUAGUAGCUGGUUCCUUCCGAAGUUUCCCUCAGGAUAGCUGGUGCAUUUAAAUGUUAUAUAAAAUAAUCUAAUCUGGUAAAGCGAAUGAUUAGAGGCCUUAGGGUCGAAACGAUCUUAACCUAUUGUCAAACUUUAAAUGUCUAAGAACCUUAACUUUCUUGAUAUGAAGUUUAAGGUUAUGAUAUAUUGUGCCCAGUGGGCCACUUUUGGUAAGCAGAACUGGCGCUGUGUUAACAACUCAUACAGAAACCAUGAAAGGCGUUGGUUGCUUAAUACAGCAGGACGGUGAUCAUGGAAGUCGAAAUCCGCUAAGGAGUGUGUAACAACUCACCUGCCGAAGCAACUAGCCCUUAAAAUGGAUGGCGCUUAAGUUGUAUACCUAUACAUUACCGCUAAAGUAGAUGAUUUAUAUUAUUUAUAAUAUAAAUUUUGAAACUUUAGUGAGUAGGAAGGUACAAUGGUGUGCUUAGAAGUGUUUAACGUAAGCCUGCAUGGAGCCAUUGGUACAGAUCUUGGUGGUAGUAGCAAAUAAUCGAAUGAGACCUUGGAGGACUGAAGUGGAGAAGGGUUUCGUGUGAACAGUGGUUGAUCACGAGUUAGUCGGUCCUAAGUUCAAGGCGAAAGCCGAAAAUUUUCAAGUUUUAAAAAUGUCAAAUGAAAUAAUGAAUAAUAAAACACUUGAAUAAUUUUGAACGAAAGGGAAUACGGUUCCAAUUCCGUAACCUGUUGAGUAUCCGUUUGUUAUUAAAUAUGGGCCUCGUGCUCAUCCUGGCAACAGGAACGACCAUAAAGAAGCCGUCGAGAGGUAUCGGAAGAGUUUUCUUUUCUGUUUUAUAGCCGUACUACCAUGGAAGUCUUUCGCAGAGAUAUAUGGUAGAUGGGCUAGAAGAGCAUGACAUAUACUGUUGUGUCGAUAUUUUCUCCUCGGACCUUGAAAAUUUAUGGUGAAGAGUCUCUAGUCGAUAGAAUAAUGUAGGUAAGGAAAGUCGGCAAAUUAGAUCCGUAACUUCGGGAUAAGGAUUGGCUCUGAAGAUUGAGAUAGUCGGGCUUGAUUGGGAAACAAUAACAUGGUUUAUGUGCUCGUUCUGGGUAAAUAGAGUUUCUAUCAUUUAUGAUAGUUAUUUGUUCCCCGGAUAGUUAGUUACGUAGCCAAUUGUGAAACUUUCUUGCUAAAAUUUUUAAGAAUACUAAUUUUUAAUUAGUUCUUUUAAAUUAUAACGAUUAUCAAUUAACAAUCAAUUCAGAACUGGUACGGACUUGGGGAAUCCGACUGUCUAAUUAAAACAAAGCAUUGUGAUGGCCCUAGCGGGUGUUGACACAAUGUGAUUUCUGCCCAGUGCUCUGAAUGUCAAAGUGAAGAAAUUCAAGUAAGCGCUGGUCAACGGCGGGAGUAACUAUGACUAAAAAAAAACUAUGAUAAAAAAAAAAAAAAAUAGCCAAAUGCCUCGUCAUCUAAUUAGUGACGCGCAUGAAUGGAUUAAUGAGAUUCCUACUGUCCCUAUCUACUAUCUAGCGAAACCACAGCCAAGGGAACGGGCUUGGAAUAAUUAGCGGGGAAAGAAGACCCUUUUGAGCUUGACUCUAAUCUGGCAGUGUAAGGAGACAUAAGAGGUGUAGAAUAAGUGGGAGAUAUUAUUCUUGUGUUUGAUAUCGCCAAUGAAAUACCACUACUCUUAUUGUUUCCUUACUUACGUGAUUAAAUGGAACGUGUAUCAUUUCCUAGCCAUUAUACGGAUAUAUUUAUUAUAUCUUAUGGUAUUGGGUUUUGAUGCAAGCUUCUUGAUCAAAGUAUCACGAGUUUGUUAUAUAAUCGCAAACAAAUUCUUUAAUGAGAGAGUGCUUUUAUGUAUUUUUAAUUUGAAAUAUUUGGUAUAACUCCAAUUACUCAGGUAUGAUCCAAUUCAAGGACAUUGCCAGGUAGGGAGUUUGACUGGGGCGGUACAUCUCUCAAAUAAUAACGGAGGUGUCCCAAGGCCAGCUCAGUGCGGACAGAAACCACACAUAGAGCAAAAGGGCAAAUGCUGACUUGAUCUCGGUGUUCAGUACACACAGGGACAGCAAAAGCUCGGCCUAUCGAUCCUUUUGGUUUAAAGAGUUUUUAACAAGAGGUGUCAGAAAAGUUACCAUAGGGAUAACUGGCUUGUGGCGGCCAAGCGUUCAUAGCGACGUUGCUUUUUGAUCCUUCGAUGUCGGCUCUUCCUAUCAUUGUGAAGCAAAGUUCACCAAGCGUUGGAUUGUUCACCCAUGCAAGGAACGUGAGCUGGGUUUAGACCGUCGUGAGACAGUUAGUUUACCCUA